rnacentral:rRNA from 1 species
GCUACUGCCAUCAGAGUUCGAUUUAGCCAUGUUAGUCGAGGGUGCUUCUUCUUCGGAAGAAGUAACCCGGCGGACGGCUCAGUAACACGUGGAUAACUUGCCCUUGGGUCUGGGAUAACCCCUGAGAAAUUGGGGACAAUACCAGAUAGGGCAUCGAUAGCUGGAAUGCGCGAUGUCCAAAAGCUGAGGCGCCCAAGGAUAGGUCUGCGGCCGAUUAGGUUGUUGUUGAUGUAAUGGAUCAACAAGCCUGCAAUCGGUACGGGUUGCGAGAGCAAGAGCCCGGAGAUGGGUUCUGAGAAAAGAACCCAGGUCCUACGGGACGCAUCAGGCGCGAAAACUUUACAAUGUGCGAAAGCACGAUAAGGGAACUCUGAGUGCCUCCUAUGGAGGCUGUUCAGGUGUCUAAAAAGCACUUGAAGUAGGGGCUGGGUAAGACCGGUGCCAGCCGCCGCGGUAACACCGGCAGCCCAAGUGGUAGCCACGAUUAUUGGGUCUAAAGCGUCCGUAGCCGGCCAGGUAAGUUCUUUGGGAAAUUUAACCGCUCAACGGUUAAGCUUUCAGGGAAUACUGCUUGGCUUGGGACCGGGAGAGGUCAGAGGUACUUCAAGGGUAGGGGUGAAAUCCGUUAAUCCUUGAGGGACCACCAGUAGCGAAGGCGUCUGACCAGACCGGGUCCGACGGUGAGGGACGAAGGCUAGGGUCGCGAACCGGAUUAGAUACCCGGGUAGUCCUAGCUGUAAACGAUGCGGGCCGGGUGUUGGCAUUACUGCGAGUGAUGUCAGUGCCGAAGGGAAGCCGUUAAAGCCCGCCAUCUGGGG